AUUUCACCUUUGAGCUUGUUUUAUGCGCCUGCAACAGUUUCCACCUUCAAGACAGAGGAAUCACAUCCCACUGAUGAUGUAAUUCAAUAAAUGUGAUCAUCCAAACAUGUCAGAGAUAAAUCCCUCAAGACCAAGGGAAAGCACAGACUCUAUGGAGGAACCCACUGGCAGCCCUUCAGAUGAGUCAAACAAACCUUCAGGUGGAAGAGAAAGCCC